UACGAAGGGGGCUAGCGUUGCUCGGAAUCACUGGGCGUAAAGGGUGCGUAGGCGGGUCUUUAAGUCAGGGGGGAAAUCCUGGAGCUCAACUCCAGAACUGCCUUUGAUACUGAGGAUCUUGAGUUCGGGAGAGGUGAGUGGAACUGCGAGUGUAGAGGUGAAAUUCGUAGAUAUUGGGAGGAACACCAGUGGCGAAGGCGGCUCACUGGACCGGAACUGACGCUGAGGCGCGAAAGCGUGGGGAGCAAACAGG
rnacentral:rRNA from 1 species